rnacentral:rRNA from 1 species
UACGUAGGGGGCAAGCGUUGUCCGGAUUUAUUGGGCGUAAAGAGCGUGUAGGCGGUCUGGUAGGUCCGUUGUGAAAACUCGAGGCUCAACCUCGAGACGCCGAUGGAAACCAUCAGACUAGAGUCCGGAAGAGGAGAGUGGAAUUCCUGGUGUAGCGGUGAAAUGCGCAGAUAUCAGGAAGAACACCCGUGGCUAAGGCGGCUCUCUAGUACGGUACUGACGCUGAGACGCGAAGGCGUGGGGAGCGAACAGG